rnacentral:rRNA from 1 species
AUUGAACGCUGGCGGCAGGCUUAACACAUGCAAGUCGAGCGGGGUGAUGGUGCUUGCACUAUCACUUAGCGGCGGACGGGUGAGUAAUGCUUAGGAAUCUGCCUAUUAGUGGGGGACAACAUCUCGACAGGGAUGCUAAUACCGCAUACGUCCUACGGGAGAAAGCAGGGGAUCACUUGUGACCUUGCGCUAAUAGAUGAGCCUAAGUCGGAUUAGCUAGUUGGUGGGGUAAAGGCCUACCAAGGCGACGAGCUGUAGCGGGUCUGAGAGGAUGAUCCGCCACACUGGGACUGAGACACGGCCCAGACUCCUACGGGAGGCAGCAGUGGGGAAUAUUGGACAAUGGGGGGAACCCUGAUCCAGCCAUGCCGCGUGUGUGAAGAAGGCCUUAUGGUUGUAAAGCACUUUAAGCGAGGAGGAGGCUCUUUUGGUUAAUGCCCAAGAUGAGUGGACGUUACUCGCAGAAUAAGCCCCGGCUAACUCUGUGCCAGCCGCCGCUGUAA